ensembl:lncRNA
AUGGAAGAAGAAAUGGAAGAGAAAAUUAAAGAAUCAGGAAAAAAGAUACAGGAGGUAAAUAGGUCAGAGAGAGGAAUAAGUACGUUGUUCUAUAGUAGUGAGGAUGAGAAUCAAGCAGAUGAGUUAUUUGAUAACGGAAAACGGGAACAGGGCAGAGAAAAGGGGACACCACUGGCUGCACAACUCCCAAUUUUAAUCAAGGGUGAGCAGGGACAAUAUGUCCCCUGGGCUUCGCAGGACCUUGAGGGGCUGGUCACUCGCCUUCCAGAUAUUCAUGAGGGGGCUGGAAAGUGGAUCAGGGUGUUUGAGGAAGAAACUAUGGGCAGGGUUUUGGCUGUGGGAGACAUUAAAGCUUUGCUGGCUAAAAUUGUAGGAAGGACAAAGAUGGAUGAAAUACUUCAAACAACUACUCUAAACAGAGCAUUGAACUCUCACAAUAUGGAUGGGAUUGUUUUUGAUGCAUUCCGACCAGCAGUGUGGCAGGCAUUGCGUGCGGAGUAUCCGCUCAGACUGAAUCCUAAAUCAUUAAAGGGAGAAGAGGUGGGAGACAUAGAAAAUCCAACCACAUAUGUUCAGAAACAGCUAAAAAGGUCGAAGCAAGAAACUGAGGGGGAUCCAGAAAGAAACCCAUUAAUGGCAACGCUGUUUAGACAAGCUGUGAUUGAUGCUAUGCCGCCAGCUGUAAAGAGCAGGCUGGAGGAUGUGGUCGGAUUAACUUCUAAAACACACAAAGAGUUUUGUGACCAUGUGUCUCAUGCAGUGGAGAAAUACAGAAAAAAUGAACAAAAGCUCAAAAGUCAAGAGAAAGAGUUACAAUGUAAACUAAAUCAAUUACAGAUUGAAGAACUGACAAAGAAAAAUAAGAAAAAGAUUCAAGCUUCAGUAACGACUGCAGAAGCAGAACAAAUGACAAUGAUGUCUCCAGUAAUUGUUCCGCAACCAACUCUUCAGUCCAGCCCACUUACAGCAGUCCCUCCAAACGCACACCCAAGCCCUGUGCCCAUAAUUAAUGUUUAUCCUCAACAGCCAGGACCCAUGGGAUGGAGAAAAAAACCCAUACAGCGAGGCCAGAGAGGAAGAGGCAAGCCUUAUACUGGUCCUCCAGGCGUGUGA